GUGAGGAAUAUUGCGCAAUGGGCGAAAGCCUGACGCAGCCACGCCGCGUGGAGGAAGACACCCCUAUGGGGCGUAAACUCCUUUUAUGCGAGAAGAAAUCCCCGACAGGUCGGGGCCUGACGGUAUCGCAUGAAUAAGCACCGGCUAACUCCGUGCCAGCAGCCGCGGUAAUACGGAGGGUGCAAGCGUUGUCCGGAAUCACUGGGUGUAAAGGGUGCGUAGGCGGACGUGCAAGUUAAGGGUGAAAUCCCGGGGCUCAACCUCGGAACAGCUUUUAAAACUGCAUGACUAGAGUAAGAUAGAGGCAGAUGGAAUUCCUGGAGUAGCGGUGGAAUGCGUAGAUAUCAGGAGGAACACCAGAGGCGAAGGCGAUCUGCUGGGUCUUAACUGACGCUAAGGCACGAAAGCGUGGGGAGCAAACGGGAUUAGAAACCCUAGUAGUCC
rnacentral:rRNA from 1 species